ensembl:piRNA 21ur-13532 ncRNA
UAGUUCGGAUCCAAUAUUUUU